rnacentral:lncRNA from 10 species
CCUGAGUCUGUGGAGGGAGAGCACACUCCCAGGCAUCAACUCACAUGACGCAGAUUUGAUGCUUGUGGAUAGGCAGCAAGGAACAACAGGAGUUUGUGGGAGCUGCUUCCUCGAGACUCAGAAAGCUGCCGGGGUGGAUGGAGCUUUGACUGUGUGUGCCCCCGUUGUGCUGAGCCCAAGGGUGGUGCUUCAGCACCCUAGGAAAUGUGCCAGCAAGGUCUACAGUAUCAGCAACUUUACCUCUCCCUCCCAGAGCUUUCUGGAGUGCUUAGCAGAAGACAGAGGACUCUAAAGUGUGAAUGUGGAAUGGAAAUUGAGGCCACCGGCAACGGCUGCGUCGAAGAGUAACUUGCGAACGCAUAGGGAUUCACAGGAUAGAUAUUGUCUGGAUAUCAGGGCGAAAUGUUAAUUAGGGAUCAAAAUGUCCUUUUAAAUUAGCUAUGUUGAAGAGAAAGGAGAAGACCAGGAAACAGAAGAAAGAUAUCGUUAUGUGGUAUUUUGGAAUAAAUAUUUAUAGAAAACAAUGAUCUGUUUGUUUAAAAACUACCGAUCUAAAAUGCUGCCCCGUCUCAUCCCUUCUUCCUGCUUUAUUUUCCUUCUCACUGUUUAUUCCCUGACAUGUUGUAAACUAACUUAUUUAUCUUGCAAAUGUUUCCUACUAGAAUGUAAGGCCCAUGAGGGCGGACGUUUUGCCUCAUUCUCUUUGGAACAGUGGACACACAGGGACUUACACAAAAAUCUGUUGAAUGAAUGAAUGUACGCUUCCAUACAUUGUAUUGGAACCUUUUCAUAUCUUUACAAACUUGUAGCAAAUCAACCAAACGUUAUUAGAAGGCCUAUUGUUUCUGUACACAUUCAAAGUAGUUCCUUAAAGUGUUCAGUGUUUUUUACCAGUUUAUUUUCAUGAAACUUUUUUAAAACACACGUCUUAAGGAUCAUACCGUGUUUUUUGAUGCUGCAGUUUUCCGUGUAUCUAAUUACAGGACUGUUUCCAAUACUCUCCCUGGUUCUGCAUUUCCUCAGCCACCAUGAGCACAUUCUAUUCUAUGGUCAUUGGAUCGGCAUUUUAAAUCCUGUUUGGCAGAAAGAGAGUCUCAUGUUUAGGUCCAAGAUGUAAUGGAUCUCUCUAAAGGACAGCAUGACAUUUCCUGUGUAAAACAACUAAAAUCCAGAAUCCACUUCCUGGUCAAUAUCGUGGGGACUACCUAAGCAGCAUGUGAGAACACACACACACACACACACACACACACACCACACACAACAGAAAAGUGAGUGAUAAUCGAUUUUAAGGACUAACUCUGGAGCCAGACUAACUGGGCUCUGAUUACAGCUCUGAUUACAGCUCUGGUGGUAACUAGCUUUACGAUCUUGGGCACAUUAUUUAACCUCUUGUCCCUCAGUUGCUUCAUCUGUAAAACCGAGAUAACAAUUGCAAUUAUCUCAUAAAAUUAUUGGAAGGAGUUAAUGAAUUAGUAUCAGUAAAGUGAUUGGAACAAUUCCUGGCAUAUAAUAAGCUCCACAUAUAUGCUAUAUAAAUGCUAGUUAAAUAACUAGUUAAACACACAAUGAAAUGUAAUAAAAGAAAAUAAAAUUAAAGAUAAUAUAUUACCAAUUGGGUAGAUGGCAACAGAGAGAAUGAAGACAAAGAUGAAUAAUCAGAGAUCUCUUCUACCUGGAGAGAUAUUCCAUUAUAUGACAUGGUGGCAACUUGAGUGUGUAUAUAUAUAUAUAUAUAAUUCCCACAUUUAAGAAAAAAAGGUAUUCAAACAAAAAUCUGUACCCAUUCGAAUUUUGCAUAAAGAGAACCAUGAUGAGAAGGAAUUACUGUACUUUGGUGUGCUCAUAAAAUUAUUAUAUAUUUAUAAUGAUUUUUAAAAAUAUGGACUUUAGAUGACUAAUUUCUUAAUAUUGUACCUGUACAGAGACAUUUGGAGAAACAAAUUAAACCUUUAUAGAUAACCUUAAAUAUCUGAAUAUGUAUAGAGUUGAAUGAUGGGACAAUUGAGGGAAGGGGUAGACAGACAUUAGGAAAAACAAAUUAAACCUUUAUAGAUAACCUUAAAUAUCUGAACACAUGUCUAGUUGAAUGAUGGGACAAUGGAGGAAAGGGUGUAGUGAGCAUAGUUUGAAUGAUGGACAAUGGAAGGAAGGGGUGUAGUGAGCAUAGUCAGUUGGAAUGAUAGAUAAUGGAAGGAAGGGUGUAGUAAGCAUAGUCAGUUUGAAUGAUGGACAAUGAUAGGAAAGGUGUAGUGAGCAUAGUCAGUUUGAAUGAUGGACAAUGGAAGGAAGGGUGUAGUGAGCAUAGUCAGUUUGAAUGAUGGACAAUGAUAGGAAGGGUGUAGUGAGCAUAGUCAGUUUGAAUGAUGGACAAUGGAGGGAAGGGGUGUAGUGAGCAUAGUCAGUUAUGGAAGGAAGGGGUGUAGCGAGCAUAGUCGGUUUGAAUGAUGGACAAUGGAGGGAAGGGGUGUAGUGAGCAUAGUUUGAAUGAUGGACAACGGAGGGAAGGGGUGUAGUGAGCAUAGUUUGAAUGAUGGACAAUGGAAGGAAGGGUGUAGUGAGCAUAGUCAGUUUGGAUGAUGGACAAUGGAAGGAAGGGUGUAGUAAGCAUAGUCAGUUUGCAUUUGAAAGUGAUGCUGAAGUCCUCGUCAUUGGGAUGCCAGAGGGAUCUGGGUCACAAAACAUACAGAAACAUUUGUUUGUGAGUGUUGCGUGCAUUUGCACAUUUUUCAUGGGGAAAAGUCCAUCUGAUGAUCAAAAAAGUGUGUGUCCCAGCAAAGGUGCAGAAAUUAUUAUCAUUUGAUUUUCUGGUUAAUAGUAUGUGAAAGUAUUUUAAAGACAAUCUACUACUCAUCAUUUCAAUAAGAGAUAAUCUAAAAAUUACCCAUCUUGUAUGAAACAAAGAAAAGAAUCAGAGAAAUUAUAUAUUUAUUAUUCCUUAAAUGUUAUUUUUCUUCCUUUUACUUCUCUUCUAUAUUCACUGUUGCGGCAUUAUAUUGAUUUUUGUUUUCUUUUUGUAAUUUGGAAAGCAGCUAUGUUCACUAUUAUAUAAACAAUGCUUGAGAGUUUUCUUAUGUUGUUAUUAAAGUUGGUGUUCAGGUAAAUUACAUUAUCUAAUGAUUUCAUUUCAAGGUAAAACACAAACAGUUUUAUGUCUUAAAGAGGGCCUUGGUCUGAUAGGAAUGAGAACCACUCUGCCAUGCCCUAUGCGAACAAUUCUAAUUGAGUAAAAUCUAAUACUUUGCAAACUGUCCCAAGAGAGCUUACUGAUUUUACGGCAGAAGAAAAAGUUUCUAUGUAGAACUCUAUGUUUGAGAGGAGGAGAGGGGCUACAGCUAAGUAUAGAGAAAAAACAAGGUUCCAUAAUCAAGAAAGAAAAAGGUGGAAUCUGAGUCUGUCUUUUUCGUCUUUACCUCUGUGUGUGUAUGUUCUAUACCAUCAUGUCUCAUUUUUCUUUAUCUCUUAAAGGGCAAUGUGUGCACACAGCAGGCAUAUAUGUGUUAAUUGAUUCAUACUCCACACAAUCCCCAUUUCUCUUGUUCUUAUCCCGACCACAAUGGAGUUCAAUAGAGCUAACAAUGGAAAAGAUAAUGAGUGGGUCUAAAUUCAAUCCCCUUUUGUUUAAGCUAAUCUCCCUCUCUAAUUAAUGGCUGUUCAUACCAUUAUUGCUCACGAAUCUGGCGACAGUUCUCUGCAUCGGCGCAGGAAGCACUCUGUGAAAUCAUGUUGUCAAAGGGGACAGCAUAGUCCAGCUCCCAUUGCACCCUUGGUGACUUUUGGCCUAAUGAAAAAGGUGUGUGGAACAUGGAAACCAGAAGGAGCCCUCUCCUGUUAGUGCAGAGCUCCUGCUCCUGGGUUGCAUUCUAGCUUUCGUCACACAUUUUAAAAUCCAAAUGUAAGAAUGAUGUACCUUUGAAAAGACAGUGGGUUACAAUGAGGGACUGAAGGAGUGGGCAGGGUCAAGUAGGGAGGGAAGAGAGAGAAGGCACAAGAGGAGCUGUGAGGAAAUAUCUCCCAGCCUCCAUCCUCACCCUCCCUGAGCUUCCGCAGGGCUGAGGCUUCCUCUGCUGAGCUUGCGCACUUGGAGAAGCCCCCUCUGGGUGGUGAUUUCUGUGCUGCAGUUGACUCCCACAGUUUGACACACACACGCACACACACACUCAAAGUCUGCAAAGGCACCAGCAGCAGUACAUACAUGCUUUCCUAAUAGAAUGCUGCUUUUAAUAAACAGGCAGCCUCUUACUCUUUUAGUUUUUGUGGACUUCAUUGUUUAAAACUGUAAAUAAACAAAGAACUCUGGAUUCCUCAUCCAUACUAUUAAGUGUUAGUGUUUCCUUUACUGGAAGCCUUCAACGUAUCAGAAACUGUGCAGGGCGAUAGGGUACACAGAGGCCAAAGCCAAGGCUACUGCUUUGCGGGAACUCUCAAGCCAGGUGCUUAGAGACGGCUGUGUAUUGCGGACCUCAGCCACGGAGGGCUGAAUUUCACAGAAAUCUUGAGUGCACUCAUACAAACCCAGACGGCGCAGCCUCCUCCACACCCGGGCCACAUGGUACAGCCUGUUGCUCCCGGGAUACACACCUGCCCAGCAGGGGACGCUACUGAACACUGCAGGCAGCUGGAACACAAUGGUACGUAUUUAUGUAUCUAAACAUAAUAAACAGAGAAAAGGUACAGUAAAAACAUGGUAUAAAAAGUGGAAAAUGGUACACUUCUAUAGGGCGCUUAACCACGAAUGGAGCUAGCAGGACUGGAAGUUGCUGGGGUGAGUCUCUGAGUGAAUGGCGAGUGGAUGUGGAGGCCUGGGACGCUAUUGUACACCCCUUUAUAAACACUAGACACUCAUGCUACACUAAAUUUAUAAGAAAUACUUUUUCUUUCUUCAAUAAUGAUUAACCUUUGCUUACUGUAAUGUCAAACUUUUUAAUUACAAAAAUGACUCGUAAUUACACUUAGCUUAAAAUGCAAACACAUUGUACAGCUGUACAAAAAUAUUUUCUUUCUUUAUAUCUUUAUUCUUUCAGCCUUUUUGUAUUUAAUUUUUUUUUUGACUCUGUAAACUAGCUCAUCAUAAACAAAGUCACAAACACCUACACUAGCCUAGGCCUACACAGGGUCGGGACCAUCAAUAGCACUGCCUUCCACCUCCACAUAUUGUCCCACUGGAAGGUCUUCAGGGUGAUAACAUGCAUGGAGCUGUCACAGUGCAUGUGAAUAUGCACCACUCAUACUGUGGGUGAAAAUGCUUUCCUAGGGCUAUACACUAACCUUUACACUCAAAUGCAGUAAGUUGUGUUAGCUGUAUUGUUGAGCGCAGGGCUUGGGGACAGGGUUACAAAGCACAGACACUUGUGGGUUUUGAUCAUAUGCAUCCGGAAAAAUACAAUCACUUAUUUGGGUAGACAGGUAUUAUUUGUGUAUUUUCCUUUUAUAAACACUUAUCAAAUGCCUACUCUUUGCUAUUAUGUUGGUUUUGGUGAUAGAAACCAUAUGGUCCCAUCUUCGAAGAGUUUUCAGUCUAGGAGGGGAGGCAGCUUCACGAACAGUGAUUGCCGCAGAAUGUGGUCAGUACAUCGUCACGCAUCCAGGCACCACCACGGCGUGAUGCGGGGAGCGAGGAGCCAUGAAGUCAGGCAAAAGCAUGGAAAGAAAGAUCUUCGAAAAGGAGGGGGCCUGCAAAAGAACUGAAACAUGAAAAGCCGUUGAAACAAAACUGACAGGCAAUAUGGUCAAGUUCCUGAUGACCCAAAUGAUCACUCAUUCAGGCAGCUUGGCUCACCAAGAACAGACCUGGGGGCGGCCUGGGAGCGGGUAUCAGACUGCCACAGGUUAACAUAGAGAAGCGAGGUGAUGCUGGAUGCAGUGGGUCACGCCUGUAAUUCCAGCAUGUUGGGAAGCCAAGGCAGGAGGAUCACUUGAGGCCAGGAAUUGCAGACCAGCCUGGGCAACACAGUGUGAUGUCGUCACUCCAAAAAAUAAAUAAAAGAUUAGCUGGAUGUGGUGGUACGUGCCUGUGGUCCCACCUGCUUGGGAGGCUGAGGUGGGAGGAUCAUUUCAGCCCAGGAGUCCCAGGCUGCAGUGAGCCAUCAUCACGCUACUGCACCCCAGCCUGGGCGGCAAAACAAGACCCCCUACCUACAAAAAAAGAAAGAAGAGAAAAGUGAGGUCAUGCAGUGCAGGGGGCUUCCUGCAAUCCUAGAUCUUCAUGACUCCUGGCGCUUCUGUUGUCAGGACACUCAUUAAAACCCACCCCAUGAGCCUCUUUUUCUACCACCGUCGCCCCCUAUGAGUUUCCUUUUAUGCUACCAUCUGCCACGAUAAGCCUCUUCUUUCCACCAUCACACCCGUGAGCUUCUUGAGCUCAGGGACAUGUCUCAUUUGACUUGGCACCUAUGUUUGCUAUUACGAUACUGUGUAUUUAUAAGGCACCACAAUGUAUGAUUGUUACAUCAAUAAAUCAUCAGCAAACCUUGAAGAUUUAAUUGGGAAAAAAAUCAGCUUUUGUGGCAAGUCAAGAGUCCACAGGAGGCAGCUACUGGGGUCGGUGCUGUUGAGACUGCAAGGCCUGAGGAGCUGGAACCGUGACAGAUUGGAAACAGCACCUCCUCCUACCACAGGCUUUAUUCACAAGUAUAAUUUAUUUUUUCUGUGUAGGAGCUUGAGGGAUUUCAGAGCAUGACAUCGAGUAAAUGUAUUUUACAUGUUAUUCCUUCCUUGGCAUCAUGGUUUGAGCCAUUCAAAUAUCUUCAUAAUCAAAAGCAUAAUAAAUUAUGACUAAAACGGUGUACCUGUGAAAACGUCCCUCGCACUCUCCCCAGUUGGAGGCUGUGCUUUUACGGUCGCAGACAGCAGGGCUGUUUGUGAGAGCAGCAGGGCUCUGCGGCUGGAGCUGAGUCAGAAGACGCCUGGCCUGCACUGCGGAGGUGCGGAGACCACAGAGGUCGGCGUGGCUCCAUCACAGCUAGAGGAUUCUGGGACAUAAUAUCCGCUCUGGACUGAAUGGUUAAGUCCCUCCCAAAUUCAUGUUAAAACUCUAAUCCCCAGGAAGACAGUAUUAGGAGGCACGGCCUUUGGAAGGCGAUUAGGCCAGGAAGGGCUUAUUGCCCUUAUAAAGGAGAGGGCUCCUGUCCCCUUCAGCCACGGGAGGCCACAGUGAGAAGGCGCCAUCCAGAAGCCCGGACAGUAGCCCUCACCAGAUGCCAAAUCUCCCUGCACCUUGACCUUGGACUCCUUCACCUCCACAACUGUGAGAAAUAAAUCCUUCAUUGCUUAUAAGCCA